AAUCGUGACCCCCCGGCCCGGGAUAGCCCAGGGAAACCUGGAGUUAAUACCGGAUGAGACGGGACCCGCGAUGGCGGGACCCGGGAAAGGCGCGUGCGGCGCCGGCCGGGGAUGAGUCUGCGUCCAUUAGCUAGACGCGGGGUAACGGCCCACCGUGGCGACGAUGGGUAGCCGGCCUGAGAGGGUGGACGGCCACAUUGGAACUGAGACACGGUCCAGACUCCUACGGGAGGCAGCAGCUAAGAAUCUUCCGCGAAUGGGCGAAAGCCUGACGGAACGCGACGCCGCGUGAACGAAGAAGGCCGUGAGGUUGUAAAGUUCUUUUCGGGAGGGGAACAACCGUGGCAGGGAAUGGCCGCGGGAUGACGUGAAUCCCGGAAUAAGCCCCGGCUAACUACGUGCCAGCCGCCGC
rnacentral:rRNA from 1 species